rnacentral:rRNA from 1 species
GACGAACGCUGGCGGCGUGCUUAACACAUGCAAGUCGAACGAGACGAUUGAAAGCUUGCUUUUAAAAGUCGAGUGGCAAACGGGUGAGUAACGCGUAGACAACCUGCCUUUGAGAUGGGGACAACAGUUCGAAAGGACUGCUAAUACCGAAUGUUGUAUAUUUUCCACAUGGAAGAUAUAUUAAAGAUGGCCUCUAUUUAUAAGCUAUCGCUCAAAGAUGGGUCUGCGUCGGAUUAGCUAGUUGGUGGGGUAACGGCCUAACAAGGCGACGUUCAGUAGCCGGUGUGAGAGGAGGAACGGCCAUAUUGGGACUGAGACACGGCCCAGACUCCUACGGGAGGCAGCAGUGGGGAAUCUUCCACAAUGGACGAAAGUCUGAUGGAGCAACGCCGCGUGAGUGAAGAAGGGUUUCGGCUCGUAAAGCUCUGUUGUCGGGGACGAAUGUGCAGUAUUUGAAUAAAGUACUGCAAUGACGGUACCUGACGAGGAAGCCACGGCUAACUACGUGCCAGCAGCCGCCGCGG